UUGAUAGGGAGCAAAGGAGUCUCUGGAUCUGGGCAUCAGUGGACCUGAAGGAAUUGAAGUUAGUCGACCAGAGGAGCUGGAGUCUGAGGCCACUCACAGGGCUGUGACCAUCGCCAACAGGGCCCACUGCCCCAUUUACCUGGUCAAUGUGUCCAGUAUGUCUGCUGGAGACAUGGUCGCUGCUGCAAAGAUGCAGGGUGAGUUUUUCUGCUCAG